UGGACAGAUUAUUGUAUUCGACUGUAUUCACGGCGUGAAACAGGGGAUUACACGGUUUUUAAACGAAAAGUGAAUCAAUUAACAUAAUAGACUCCU
rfam:Nicotiana attenuata strain TT scaffold02333, whole genome shotgun sequence.